rnacentral:rRNA from 1 species
UACGUAGGGUGCAGGCGUUAAUCGGAAUUACUGGGCGUAAAGCGUGCGCAGGCGGUCUUUUAAGUUAGAUGUGAAAUCCCCGGGCUCAACCUGGGAAUUGCGUUUAAAACUGUUUGACUAGAGUAUUGUAGAGGAUAGUGGAAUUUCCAGUGUAGCGGUGAAAUGCGUAGAUAUUGGAAGGAACACCGGUGGCGAAGGCGACUAUCUGGGCAAAUACUGACACUGAGACACGGAGAGCAUGGGGAGCAAACAGGG